rnacentral:rRNA from 1 species
UACAGGAGGGGGCAAGCGUUUGUUCGGGAAAUUACCUGGGCGUAAAGGGGCGUGUAGGCGGGCAGGUAAGUCGGGCGUGAAAUCCCUGGGCUCAACCCAGGAACUGCACUCGAAACUACUUGCCUUGAGUGCCGGAGAGGAAACGCGGAAGUUCCUGGUGUAGAGGUGAAAAUUCGUAGAUAUCAGGAGGAACACCAGUGGCGAAGGGCGGCUUU